GAUGGAAGAUUCGAUGGACAUGCACAUGAGUCCUCUGAGGCCCCAGAACUAUCUUUUCAGUUGUGAACUUAAGGCCAACAAAGAUGAUCACUUUAAGGUGGAUAAUGAUGAAAAUGAGCACCAGUUAUCUUUAAGAACAGUCAGUUCAUGGGCUGGUGCAGAGGAUGAUUGCACAUUGUUGAAGCAGAGGCAGUGAAUUAGAAGGCGGUCCAAUUGAAGUAACACUGGCAACUUUGAAAAUGUCUGUUUAGUCAACGGUUUCCCUUGGGGGCUUUGAAAUCACACCACCAGUGGUCUUACAGUUGUAGUGUGGCUCAGGGCCAGUGCAUAUUAGUGGACAGCACUUAGUAGCUGUGGAGGAAGAUGCAGAGUCAGAAGAUGAAGAGGAGGAGAGUGCGAAACUCUUAAGUAUAUCUGGAAAGCAAUCUGUCCCUGGAGGUGGUAGCAAGGUUCCACAGAAACAAGUAAAACUUGCUGCUGAUGAAGAUGAUGAAUGAUGAAGAUGAAGAUGGUGGUGAUGAUGAAGAAGAUGAUGAUGAAGAUGACGAGGAAACUGAAGAAAAAGUGCCAGUGAAGAAAUCUAUACGAGAUACUUCAGCCAAAAAUGCACAAAAGUCAAAUCAGAAUGGAAAAGACUCAAAACCGUCAACACCAAGAUCAAAAAGACAAGAAUCCUUCAAAAAAACAGGAAAAAACUCCUAAAAUACCAAAGACCUAGUUCUGUAGAAGAUAUCAAAGCAAAAAGCAAGCAAAUAUAGAAAAAG
rnacentral:lncRNA from 1 species